AACGUAGGACACAAGCGUUAUCCGGAGUUACUGGGCGUAAAGAGCGUGUAGGCGGCCAGACAGGUCAGCUGUGAAAACUCGAGGCUCAACCUCGAGACGUCGGUUGAAACCGUCUGGCUAGAGUCCGGAAGAGGAGAGUGGAAUUCCCGGUGUAGCGGUGAAAUGCGCAGAUAUCGGGAAGAACACCCGUGGCGAAGGCGGCUCUCUGGGACGGUACUGACGCUGAGACGCGAAAGCGUGGGGAGCGAACAGG
rnacentral:rRNA from 1 species